UUGUGUUGCGUAGCCCCGACGGAGGACUAUGGCAACCAAGCGAAAACUCAAGAAUCUGUAGCCGCCACUUCGUUGGCAACAGAAAAAGCAACGUUGCGAACCAUCCUGCGUAUGUGCCAUCGAUAUUUCCAUCUGUGUACAGACGUCCGCCUCCGCUUGACUCAGCAAGUGGAACGGAGAGAUUUGGCAGAUGGCAGAAAAGACACCAGGCAGAUGCUGCAGCUACAACUGGGCAAAGUACAGAUAUCUCAACUUCUGCCGAGUGCACAAGCGGCACUGUACCAAGCUCUUGUGCAGCCCAAGAGCAUGCUGAAGCUGAAAUGCUAAAUAUUCACAGCAUCGAAACAGAAGUUCCCCUUGUCAUUGAAGGAGGUAUUGCUGAU
rnacentral:lncRNA from 1 species